rnacentral:rRNA from 1 species
AGAAUCAACGCUGGCGGCGUGCCUAACACAUGCAAGUCGCACGAGAAAGUGGAGCAAUCCGCGAGUAAAGUGGCGCACGGGUGAGUAACACGUGAAUAAUCUACCUCCGAGUGGGGAAUAACUGAGAGAAAUCUUAGCUAAUACCGCAUAACACUUACGAGUCAAAGCAGCAAUGCGCUUGGAGAGGAGUUCGCGGCCGAUUAGUUAGUUGGCGGGGUAAUGGCCCACCAAGACGAUGAUCGGUAUCCGGCCUGAGAGGGCGCACGGACACACUGGAACUGAAACACGGUCCAGACUCCUACGGGAGGCAGCAGUGGGGAAUUUUGCGCAAUGGGGGAAACCCUGACGCAGCAACGCCGCGUGGAGGAUGAAAUAUCUUGGUAUGUAAACUCCUUUCGAUGGGGAAGAUAAUGACGGUACCCAUAGAAGAAGCCCCGGCUAACUUCGCGCCAGCAGCCGC